ensembl:ncRNA lncRNA:CR44603 long non-coding RNA:CR44603
GGCGGAGAAUGAAAACGAAAGUGAAAGUGCAAAAGCGCAGCGCGCAAAAGUAUCUCAGGGAUACGAAAAGCUGGGGGAUGAAGAGGAGUCGAGUGGCUUCUGCUGCUUCUCAAGUGGCGUGGGUAGUUGUUGUCAAAGUAACGAUUGGGCUGUCAGGCUGUCAGGACUCGGGAUUCUGUCCGCUUUCCCGCCUUCUCAUCGUGGCGAGAACGCCUACCAUCCGGCCGUCGCUUCUGUCAGGAGUAAGUAAACUAAAAAGACAAAGGCCUCGCCUAAAAGUGUGCUACACAUAAAGAAAAUAGGGGGUGGUGGGUUGGCCCCUGGAGGGGUUGGUAUAUAAAGAAGCUGCCAGUGCCAUGUCUUCGGCUGCUGCUGCUUCUGCUGCCACUUUUCCUGCUUUUUGCGGCUGCCUUGCUGCUGCUGCUGCUGCUGCUGCUGCUGCUGCUGCUGCUGCGUCCUCAUCGUUUCUUGCCUCUGCGAAGAUGUUGCACGUUGCCGGGGCAAUACGGACUUUCGGCCACGAGUCCGCCUCAAUAAUGCAAAAACAACAGCAACUCGUCAGCACAAGCACAAGCAGCAACAACGGGCGAUUUUCGGGCAUUUUUGGGUUUCUACUUGCCACACGCAACUUUUGCUGCUCCCCUUGCCAUUUUCAGACGCCUCCCCCCCCCCCCCACAACUCCACACAGUACAAAGUUGGUUGGAAAAUUCGAAUGUCAGUUGUAAUAGCUUCGGCAUAUAAAUCAAUAAAAUGAUUGUACGCACCUUUGGGGCCCUUGCCCUUCUGCUUUCUGCUUUCACCCGCCGCCUGGCCACGCCCCCGCCCUCCUUUUUCCACCCCCACCCACAAACAUAGCCUCGUCCUCGUUGCUUGGCUUCCUUGCAGCUUCUGCUGCUCCUGGCAGUCGCUUCGCUGUGCUUGUGUGUGUGUGCGUUGUUAUUGCAACGUUGUUGCCGAAAAUAUUCACAAAAAGGGGUGGCACUGCGAGGGGUGCUUGGUAAGUUAUGAGAUUUCGAUUGUCAGCUGUUGAACUUCAUAUGUUUUGCCUAGCAAACAGAUCUUAGUACAAUUUUCUAUUAUUUGAUAUGUUAGUUGUAAUGUGGACAGUUUCCCAAACUUCAGUGACAGCCCUCGCUGGGCGAGCUGUGAGUUUCAGGUGCGCCUGCUUGUUGCUAUUCCUGCUGCUCCUGCCCCUGCCCAAAAAGUCCACCUCCGCCCGGGCCAUUUUGCUGACUGUUGAUGAUGAUAAUGGGCCUUCCCCUAUAUACACACUUUUUCUUAUUUCAUUUCGGUCACGGGGAGGGGCGGUUGCUUGUGGGCGUGCCUCAUCCUGUCCAAUGCGUACGACGUAAAAAUUUUUACGCAUUUUUGAUUUAUGGGCCCAGCACAAAUAAAUUGUCGACGUUGUCAACUGUAUAUUGAAAAUGCAUUGGGCGCCGAACGGAAAAGUUGCCAAGGGGAAAGGAAGCUGGAAAAUAUGAGAGCCAAAGCCAGCGAUUCCCCCUCAGCAAUCUGGGCAGUAAUGUUAAUGAUUAUGGUCGGGAAUCGAGGUAACAGCUGUAAAGUUGUUGCCGAAAUAUUAAACCAGAAAAUGGAGAUGGGGCAUUUGGGGCCAAGCACCUGUGGUUCACAUAUGCAGCAGCCCAGGGGUCCAAAAAACAAGAUGUGGAUUCGAACGAGGAGUGCUCUGGCUGUGUUGGCCAUUAAAAGUUCUUACAAUGCAGACACACGCACUUGGUUGAGGCGAAAAAAAAAAAAAUGGUGAAAACUUGGGGCAAGGCAAAAAAAAAAAGGUUUGGGCCAAGUAACGUGGCACUUUUCACAACACAACGGCUACUUGCCCGUAGCUCACUUUUUGCUCUUUUCCUGAGGUUUCGUUCGGUUGGCAGGGCCCACAGUGCGCAUACUUGAUGGGCCUCAGCCAUCGUAGCUCCCGUGCCACAUUUUUUUUUUAGCUAGCUAGCAUCCCCUUCUCCCUUGAUGAUGGAAGACCACAACACAUGCGAACUAAAGUUGCUCCUGGCCAGAGGUUUACGGCUCCCCUUCCGUUGGCUUCUUCGCUUGGUAACAAGUGGGACACGUCAAGUGGCCCUUGAGCUUGGCUUCGCUGCCUUGAAACAAGUUUAAAUUGAAGGGGAAUGGAAUAAGCUACUUAAAAGUGUCUGUGUUCUUAGGAAAUGGCCAUCGGCAGUUUAAGGGAUUUCCGAGACAUAUUGAGUGCAAAUGCAAGCUGAUAAUUCUUAGUGAGUAAGAAGUACACUUCUCGCUGAAUAAGUGUAUGUAUAAGUUGAAUAUUUUUAUAUUAGUCUUCCGCAUCCAGCUGCAGUCUAGAAAGCAGGUUUACAAGCUUACAAGCUCUAAACCAUUUUGUAAUGUGAAUUUAAAGGGAAGGAACGUAUCUAAUAAUAGGAUGGAAGAACAUAAUCCAGGCAAGACCUUAUUAAAGUUACAUUGAAGCCAUCUCACAUCUAACUAACGAGGCAUCCAUUUUGGCCUGCAUGUAUAGCUUACCCAGCUAGCUCCAACUCCCAUAUUCUCCACCCUCUCACAUAUACACACGCACUUACAUGAGGGUGUCACACACAUGCAGAGACACUCGAAAAAAAUGAGGACGGACGGACGUCGGCUGACGUUGCUGUGACAGCAGAGAUAACGCAAUAACAACAGCAGCAAUGCCAAUGCAUGUGGCAAGCAAAUGACCAGCAGCAGGACCUCCCUCACACACACAAACAUACAAGUAUACACACGCACGCAGGCAGGACGACCCGCUGAGCAUGUGAUCUAUGCCUAUCUGAUGUAUUUUAAUGGUGCUCACAUAUAUUUUUCAUUAUUGCCCUGGCUGCCUGUUGACCAGCAGGCAAACGCUGUAUGCAAACAAGAAGUGUAUCGACAGUAAAGUUACCCCUUGAUAGAUUAUAACAUACAUUUUCAUUAAGAACAAAUGUAAUUAAAACAUAGAUUGGGAAAAAGAACACAUUCAGAAGUUCAGACGUAGUAACUUCAAUUCUCGUUAGCCCCACUUUGCUCCGCCUUCGAUUUGCUUUCCCUCCAUCCACUCCUUUCACAUUACGUAUACGCAGUGUCCGUUUGCUCCCCCUGUAGCAUGGACCAACAAUUUAUUUCUAUACACCAGAGGCCGCGACUUUUUCCAGCUGCCAUGUGGAUGUGGAUGCAACGCAUUGGGGCCGCCGGCAAAAAGCCACCCGCACCCAAAUCCUGACCCAGUCCCAGUUCGAAUCCUAGCUGCGUAGCCUCUCGUCCUUUUUCCUGCCCAAUCCCUUUAGCUUUGCUUUUUUUUUUCGUCCUUUAUCUGGUCGUGCUGCGGCAUUUUGCGUGAUGAUAUGCGAUGGAGUUUGGGCGGAGACUCAUACGGGCAGAUAUUUUUUAUGGCCCGUGGAGAUUGCAAUUUGGAAAUCGAUAAAUUGCAAUUAAUUUAAUGGUCACAGCGACAAGCAGCCAAAGGAGCAAGGAAACAAUGCGGAUAUUAAAUAAAUCAUGAACGCUGCAGUGGAAUGUUGUGAUAUUAAAUUCACAGUUCUAACCUUAAAAGGAAAGCUACUGAAAGCAGGACAUCCACCUGAGUGGCCACAAAAAUGUGGUUGUCAUAGAAAGUGGCCAAAAAUUGGAGGAAGGACAACUAAUCAAAGAAGGCAAAAGCGAAGCUUGUGAAUUUAAUUGAAAUAUAUAUAAAAUCCAAACUUAAUCUGUAAUGCAGCUCAAGUCUGGAGGUCGCCAAGUUUUAAUUAAAAUUUCGCUGUGACCGGGAACAUAUUUCCCAAAUGCAGCAAUGAAAAAACACUUUCCACAUUCCUUAUUAUAGAAAAUUUACACCGUCGCUGGGUAUUUGCAUAAUUUCCACCACCCACACACCCACUCACUCACCGAAACCAGAUCGACUGGGAUUGCUGAUUAGCAGUCCCCAAACACCAUCCCCUUUCCAUUUUCCACCCCCUUUCGUUUUCCACCUUGGUAACUGCGGUCCAGCCGUCCAGCAUUUAAUUACCUUGGAGAAAAAACGUGGAAACCGAGCUACGGCGAGCUUCAGGUGAGGGAAAGGAAAAGCGGGCAAAACGACAGCGGCAACAACAAGGCAUAACCUAAUUUUCUCGAGUUUCCCAAGCAACGAGAUGUGGCCAGCCAAAGGGAAAAACCAACCAAAGUAGAGGGUCCGCCGCCUCGGCAUUCCAGAUUUGAAGCUCUGUUUUCUGGCCAAAUCUGUGAAACAGUGUGUUUUAGGGUGCUGAAAAUGCAAAUGCACCGAAUGAAUAUUCAACAGGAGUUGGUCUGUGUUUUUGGGAAAUGAAAUCAAACAAAAAGUGAUUGAAGGAAGUUCGCAUUGAAGGGAAAACAAAGGGAGGAUUAGAAGAAUGAUCAGUGAACAAUACAAAUCAGUGGAAGAGAUAAAAGGACAGGGAAUCAAAGCGUCGAUUAAUACAAAUCAGAAAGGUAUUGUCAUAUUAAUAUAAUUAUAUAGGAUAUAUGAGUGCAAAACUACAGGGAAUAAGCACUCGUAACCCUUGACCUUCUUUGGUGGAAUACCCACCCACACUCCCGAAAAACAAACGCACACAUUCAACUCUGCAUUAUGUCCUCGUGCUCUACGCACAACAAAGGACAACAACGGCGAACAACGAAAUAGAAACAAAAGCUACAAACAAUGAUUUUCAUGGUACGUAAAAUUAAUUAGGGCACUGAGACAAAAAUCCUCAAAUUUCAAUUGAGCCGCAGCCCGUUGUCGAUGGCCAGUGGGAGCGAAAGAGACGGCCGUUGCGUUGGAGAAAGAGAUGGGGAUAUGCACUGAAAACAAGGCGGCCCAACUAAAAAUACCAAGGAUCCAAGUGAGGGGGGAUUGAGUGAGGGGGCGGGGGCGGUGUAAGGAGCUGCUGGGAAACAUAAUUACUCUGCAUCUGUGUGAGUUUCUAUGUUGAUGUGCCUGUGCGUAGGCUGAGCACCCUGCACUGAGAGAAAUAGUAUGCAUAAAUCACUAUUGAACUUAAGAAACUCAUUACAUCAAGUUACUUUUAUGUUGCUUUGUUUUUUUUUAUGGAAGUAUCAAAUUACAUAUUUUGCCAUUAAACUAUAUGUACAUGAGUUUUUUCUCUGAGUGCACUGUCUUCUCAAUGCAAGCCGGCUCUGCUGCUCCUUGUGUUUCCUGUCUGCGUCCCUUCCCUGGCUACGAUUAUAUAAGCCUAAAAACUUGUACAUGGCAUUGGGGAUUUUCUAUGUGUUUGUGCGUCUGCAGUUGUGUUGGUGUUUGUUAUCAGCCCAAGAGCAAUUACAGCAGCAGCAGCAACAACAACCUAAGUCGCAGCAUCAAAGCUCGAGGGAAAAGCGAAAGGAAAAGCGAAGACUGCGGAAAACUCGCACAGCGUUUUCAGCUAAUAUAUAAUUACAAAUACAUUUAAUCCUGACGGUUUUUUAAUUGUCCUCGGUUUCGCAGAUGGAAGGGUUGAGAUCAAAAGGUGGAAAGGGGAAAAAGACAGCAGGCUGCGUUGUGAUUGACAUUUUACGUGAAACUGAAAGUGGAAAGUCGGGAAAAGCUGAACUGUCGGGUUGUCAGAUUGUUGAGGGGAGGUAACAUUGAAUGCCAGAGGCGAAAUGCAUAUUUGUACAAUUAAUUAAAGUAUAGCAUAUAAAUAAAUAGAAUUCCACAUAAAUAUUAAACUCACUAUAUAAAGGACACAAGCAUCUUAUAUUAACUAUAUUUUAAGUAAACUUUAAAAUCACAUUAUUUCCUACAUAAAUUUAGUGGAGCUACCAUUAAAGCUUUAAAAUUGCAAUUAAUUUUCGAGUUAACCAAGCCUACAACUCAUUCCGCUUGGCCGCAAGGAAGGCACUUUAUUAGAAAACCGUAGAAACUGUUUGGAAAAAAGCAAAGAUGGCGGCGGAGAGGAAACGGAAGUAGAUGAGGGAGAACUGACAACAUAAAACCUCAAACCUCAAAGAGAAUUUUCAGCGCUUCACGGAAACCAGAAAAAAAUCCCAAGCCAGGAAAAACUUUAAACUAACGCACACAAUCACACUCACAACUAUGCACUGCAGGAAAAGCCUGAGAAGGUGGGGAAAACACAGUCAAGAAGCAGCAGGCGACCCACAUUGAUAAAGGCGAAAAACAGCCGAAGGCGGAAAAUGCCAACAAAAAGAAAGCCGUGGGCCGGGGAAAAUGUUUUCGCUUUUCUUGCAUUUCCAGCAGAGGAAACAACAAAGACGGCCAACUACGCACUUUGCUGAAUAGCUGGCCUGCAACACGAGCAAGAAAAAGAAAAGAAAAAGGAAGAGAAAGAGAAAGAAGGGAAGUUGGCAGUUGGAGGACCAAGGAACCCAAACUUCUAUGUACCACAACUCCUACUCGCAGCGCUACAUAGUAUGUGCCACAUAGAGCAACCGAACCAAGAAAAACCGCAGUGGAGGCAACGUCACUCACAUAGCAGUGGAGAGAAUAUGCGUGAUACACUGCAAAAAAAUAAGUGAUUAAUGUUUUAUUGAUGAUCAUAUUGCCUACUACCAGGCGAAGUUUCUUCAAAAUAAUAUUAAGCAGGCAAAAGAAAACCAAUUUGGAAUCUUUGUAUCUUAGCCCAGUAAAAAUUGUAUUUCUAAAGUUGCGAUUAUGCCAUUAUCUGAAUUACUCUAAAAUAUUAAAAUUUUAAUUUUCCAUUGGGCAAGCACCUCGAUUUUCACUCAGCUUAUUAACUAUCGAUUAAGCCUUAAGUAAUCCGACAUUAUUUCACUAUAGCCCAGGCCAUUACGCAUCGGAAAUGCCUACACGAAAAUAUAUCAAAUUACAUUCUGUCACUGUACAAUCCCCCCAUCCAACCAAUCCACCCACAUUUCCCCCACUUUCCAUUUCCCUUUUCCUAGCAGCCCAUCUUGCCGCCUCCCCAUCCCCGUUCCUGUGCCCCAUUCCUUAUCCCCAAUUCAACCGCUGCACACGCACAAAGGCGCCAAAAUCACAAACGCAGCGAGUGGUCGACUGUUGUAAUGGCUGGGAGUUAUCCUGCCACCCACUUUUCCGCUCCCCGCUCCAUUCCCCGUUCCCCCAUUUGCUUUUCGUCCAUAAAGGACUGCAGUAAAUUCCAUGUCCCCCCGAAAGGUACACCCUAAAAUGGCCCCUUUCCUUGCCGCCGCCAAAAGAAAGUUUUAUAUAGGCGCCGGCGCACGCACAUCUGGCCGAAAUAUAUGUAUUUCCAAGUACAUAAAAGCUGCAACCGAAAAAAAAACAUUUGCGGAGGUGGCUUGGGGAGGGGGGGGGGGUUUGGGCGGUGUGCUAAGUCCCCCACUCAAACCCGGCAACCCGUGUCAAAGUCAUCCUCCCCAG